UACAGAGGUGGCGAGCGUUGUUCGGAUUUACUGGGCGUAAAGGGUGCGUAGGUGGCUCGGUGUGUCGGGCGUGAAAUUCCACUGCUCAACGGUGGAACGCCGUCCGAAACUGCUGGGCUAGAGUGCAGGAGAGGAGAGCGGAAUUCUUGGUGUAGCGGUGGAAUGCGUUGAUAUCAAGAGGAACACCAGUGGCGUAGGCGGCUCUCUGGAAUGCUACUGACACUGAGGCACGAAAGCGUGGGGAGCAAACAGG
rnacentral:rRNA from 1 species